rnacentral:rRNA from 1 species
AACGAACGCUGGCGGCAGGCUUAACACAUGCAAGUCGAGCGCCCCGCAAGGGGAGCGGCAGACGGGUGAGUAACGCGUGGGAAUCUACCCUUUUCUACGGAAUAACGCAGGGAAACUUGUACUAAUACCGUAUGUGCCCUUCGGGGGAAAGAUUUAUCGGGAAAGGAUGAGCCCGCGUUGGAUUAGCUAGUUGGUGGGGUAAAGGCCUACCAAGGCGACGAUCCAUAGCUGGUCUGAGAGGAUGAUCAGCCACAUUGGGACUGAGACACGGCCCAAACUCCUACGGGAGGCAGCAGUGGGGAAUAUUGGACAAUGGGCGCAAGCCUGAUCCAGCCAUGCCGCGUGAGUGAUGAAGGCCCUAGGGUUGUAAAGCUCUUUCACCGGUGAAGAUAAUGACGGUAACCGGAGAAGAAGCCCCGGCUAACUUCGUGCCAGCCGCCGCAGUAACAC